rnacentral:rRNA from 1 species
AGACCCCAUGAACCUUUACUGUAGCUUUGCAUUGGACUUUGAACCGAUCUGUGUAGGAUAGGUGGGAGGCUAUGAAACCGGAACGCUAGUUUCGGUGGAGCCGUCCUUGAAAUACCACCCUGGUUUGUUUGAGGUUCUAACCUUGGCCCGUGAUCCGGGUCGGGGACAGUGCAUGGUAGGCAGUUUGACUGGGGCGGUCUCCUCCCAAAGCGUAACGGAGGAGUACGAAGGUACGCUAGGUACGGUCGGAAAUCGUGCUGAUAGUGCAAUGGCAUAAGCGUGCUUAACUGCGAGACCGACAAGUCGAGCAGGUGCGAAAGCAGGUCAUAGUGAUCCGGUGGUUCUGUAUGGAAGGGCCAUCGCUCAACGGAUAAAAGGUACUCUGGGGAUAACAGGCUGAUACCGCCCAAGAGUUCAUAUCGACGGCGGUGUUUGGCACCUCGAUGUCGGCUCAUCUCAUCCUGGGGCUGUAGCCGGUCCCAAGGGUAUGGCUGUUCGCCAUUUAAAGAGGUACGUGAGCUGGGUUUAAAACGUCGUGAGACAGUUUGGUCCCUAUCUGCCGUGGGCGUUGGAUAUUUGAAGGGGGCUGCUCCUAGUACGAGAGGACCGGAGUGGACGAACCUCUGGUGUACCGGUUGUCACGCCAGUGGCAUCGCCGGGUAGCUAUGUUCGGAAGAGAUAACCGCUGAAAGCAUCUAAGCGGGAAACUCGCCUUAAGAUGAGAUAUCCCUGGGGACUAGAUCCCCUUGAAGGGUCGUUCGAGACCAGGACGUUGAUAGGUCAGGUGUGUAAGCGCAGUAAUGCGUUCAGCUAACUGAUACUAAUUGCCCGUAAGGCUUGAUCCUAUAACA